GCAACACUUUAGGAUCCUCAAAUACAUAGUGGAAUUUGUCCAGUAAUAGUUGCAAAUCCAUGGGAUAAGUAGUAGAGGAUGAAGUAGUUGCCGUGGCAGCACCCUCAAUAACAGGCCCCUGCGGUGGAGAAAUCUGUAGACAGAAUAAUGGAGUUUGAAAGUCUCCUCCCUUCUUGUGAACUAGCUUACCACAGCUCAUACAAUUCAAAAGUGUUUGCU
rnacentral:misc_RNA from 1 species